rnacentral:rRNA from 1 species
AUGCUAGCAAGAUGGGCAACAUAUCCGGAGAGGUUUAACUAUCUCAUCGUGCAUAAAUCUGUAAUAACUAACAGAGUGGCCGAUGCUUUGAGUCGUCGUGCAUGCCUCUUGACUUCUUUUGAAGCUGAACUUCCGGGCAUGGAUCAAAUAAAGGAGUUGUAUGAGGGUGACGAAGACUUUGGCCAUGUUUGGUUAAAGCACGCAAGGGGCCAACCAUUAGGUGAUGACUAUUUGAUGCAAGAUGGAUAUCUCUUAAAAAUGAUCGCUUAUGCAUUCCAAGAAGUUCUCUACGUGACAAGCUGGUUAGAGAGCUCCAUUCAAGUGAUCUUAGUGGCCAUGUUGGACGGGACAAGACUAUCGCUAACCUGGAAGCUUGCUGCUUUUGGCCACAACUAA